rnacentral:rRNA from 1 species
UAAGGAAUAUUGGUCAAUGGACGCAAGUCUGAACCAGCCAUGCCGCGUGAAGGAUGAAGGUCCUCUGGAUUGUAAACUUCUUUUAUCUGGGACGAAAACGGGAUUUUUAUCUCAAUUGACGGUACCAGAGGAAUAAGCACCGGCUAACUCCGUGCCAGCAGCCGCGGUAAUACGGCGGGUGCGAGCGUUAUCCGGAUUUACUGGGUUUAAAGGGUGCGUAGGUGGGAUUAUAAGUCAGUGGUGAAAUCUCCGAGCUUAACUUGGAAACUGCCGUUGNUACUAUAGGUCUUGCAGUAUCUGGAGUAAAGCGGAAUAUGUCAUGUGGCGUUGAAAUGCUUAGAUAUGACAUAGAA